GAAAAAUUGUUCUUCCUCCCAAGAGGCGGGAUUUGUCAGACCCGCAUCUGAGGGAAUGUGCUGCUGUAGUACAACGUGUUCUUCACUGCUUUGCACACAUUGGCCCGGGCUCCUUUUGGUACAGAAGCACUGCAAAGCUCUUUGGAUGUGGUAGCUGCAAGAACCUCAGAUACUCCCAGGGCCCUCGCUAAAGCACUGACUGUGUCUGCUGCCUGUGCCUGUGAGCACGAGGCUGUGCUGAUGCCAGCAAUCUCUUGUGCACGUCAGCUCUCUGCAGCCGUGCAGCUGCUCCCUUGAGCCACAGAAAGGCUGAUGCUUUACAUAAUCGCUAUCAAAAUGCAUUUAAUUUUCUGGCAUCUCGGUGGGUCUUUGGAACUGUAUUGAAACAGCAAUUUGUUUCUGAAGUGAUGCUUUCAGAGAGGCCUUGUUUUCCUGCAGGACCUUGAUGAGUGUGGUUCAGGUGUGUGUUUCCGGAGAGUGACCUGGUACAAAGUGCCAAUCAGGACCUUGCUGGCCUUCUGAGUUGGGGAUAGGCAAAGCUUGGUGCAUGGCAGAGCCCUGCAGAUGGUGCUGUGUUCCUAGCCUGCUGUGUCUGUGAGGAGCAGGCUUCCUGUGUGCUGGCAGUGUGGCAUGGUGCAGCCCCCCACUCCACAGAGGAUACUGUGGAUAUGGCUGCAAAGUGGGGCUUUUACUCCAUUCCUGUGCUGCAGUACAGACCUAGCAUAGGGAAGCUGGGAGGGGUCCUCAUGGACUGGAGUUGUAGCUGUGCUGGUAAUGGGAGGCCUGAAUCCCCCUCAGGGCUGCACUGAUCCAUGGCUUUCAACAAUCUGUUUUUGCUCUGGUGCAACUUCCAAGUAUACAUCCUGAAGUGCAAGUACCACCCCUGCUUUCAUGUUCCACUCAGAGUGUGGGGUGAAAGGAACUUCCUAAGAGCCUCAGAGAGUCUAAGACAUGUGCAGCAGGGAUGAGACCCCUUUCCAGGUGCAGAGCUGGCAAGCGCAGAGGGACUCAGCCAAGGUGGCACAAGAAGCCUCUGGGGAGCCAGAUGACUGAAUGUGUGUGGGGUACUGGCCAGCACUCAGUUCUUUGAUGCAGGGCCAUAGAGUACAAUGGAUUGGAAGAGAGCUCAACAGUCAUCUAGCAUAAUUUCCCUGUCCAAGUAAGGAUCAGCUUGGCUUUCAUCAUGCACGUUCGCCUAACUUGACCUAAAAGGCUUCUGAUGAUGACUGGGAUUUUUGCACGCAGUCUGUUCUGAUGCUUCAUUGUUUUUACAGUAGAAAAGUACCUUAGUACCUAGUUGUCCUUGCUUUCAUUGAAAUUGGGUACUAUUCUUGUCCUGAGACGUAGAAUUUGCUCUUUCCUCACAGCAGCUUCCCUAUAUUAACCUGUUCCCUUACAGUCCUUAUUUCUGAGGAAACACCAACAUGGUGUUUUUGUGCAUCUCCUGCACACCCUUCUUUCCCUGCUGGAAAGGGAGACAGAGCAUGCUGUGAAGGGUAGCGUGCUUCAGACAUGCUGCAGGGAGAUGCUUGUGCUUGUGGUGAUUGAAAUAAUAGAGCUGCUACAGCUUCUGUUAUUGUGGGGAGAAGUUAUUUCCCAAGCAGUGGAGACCAGGCCAAAACUUGCAUUAAUCUUUUGUUUGUCUGGGCAAGUUUUCAAAAGCUGUAUUUAAAGUUUUUGUUUAGGAACUUGUUUUCUUCUGCUCAGGGUUGCAUCCAGAGGGACGAACACCCAGCGGGAGAAGUCUUCUCUCUCACAGUUGAGAUGACGAUGAGAUACCAAGAGAGACUUUAUCAAGUUUCUUCAGCCAAUUGUCUCGUCCACAGAUGUUUUAAUGUGCUUUUAGUUAAGUGUGUGAGCUUUCAGAUGUUCCCACUCCCUGUGGAGGGUCAUUUCACAGCCUUUCUCUGCUGCUUUUGCCUGGCAGCUGCUCGCAAGGCUCUGCAUGAUUUGUGCAGUGCCUGGUGAAUCCAGCAGGUUAUUUACAUAGUACUAUCCCUUUGCACUGGGUUUGUAGCCAAAUCACACUUGUCGUUCAGUUGCUGAGGUUUGGGACAGGUUGCAUAAGCUACUGUAACAUCAAGGAUGUUCUAACAGCAUGCAGUAGUUGCAGAAUCAGGCCUGUAGCCAGCUCUCUCUUGCCUUGCAGUUGCCUGUCUGUGCCAGUUGGGCUUUGGAUGACAAGCCCAGGGUUCAGAGCCUGCACCUAACUGUUCCCAGCAUUUGUACCGAAGACUGGAGUGCUUCUGUAAUUGUGCCUAUGAGCAGGAGGUGGUGCCUACAGGAUGCUGAUCUGUGUGGUCUUUGCCCCUUGCCGUUCUGGUCUCACCCAUUACUACCACAGUGAGUCUGGUGGACCAGCCUUCUGAAGGCAAAAUAAACGUAUAAGCAGUUUGCCAGAUUGCCUGUUCACUUCAGUUUGGGUUUUUGAUUCCUUCUGGAGACAGUGUGUAUGGAUCGUGUUAGGCUUCAGGUAGAAAUAAUGGAGAAGAAUGGAGCAGGCUGAGGAGCAUGCCUGUAGUGAGUGGUGAGAUCACACUGACCUGUGUGCUCUGUGCACACAGCUCCAGGAAUAUCUUAAGAGUGCCUCAUAUAGUGGAUGUGAGGUAGUCAGUUACUGUAGAAAGCUCUGUGACUGUCCUGUGGUAUUCACCUCAGUCAUACCCAGAUAGUGAAUGAGCCAACAGCACUGUGCUGCAGCAUGAUAAAUCAGGUUUGUUUUGCUUAUUUUCACUGAUGCUCGAGCAAAACCAAAGGAUGUGGGAAUAAGUCAAAGAGCCAUUGCUAGAUUUUCCACAAGUGCAUCUCUGAGCAUGAGAGCAUGACCCAGGCAAGCCAGCCUACUGCAGGGUGCUGUGAAAGUUAGAUCUGCAUCCUGUUCACAACAGCCAGUGGUGCUUUUGCAGUACAGGAGGAUGAAAUACAUCAUUGCUGCAGUGCUGCCACACGUUGUGGUCUCCAUGGUUUGUCUACUGUACAUGGUUCACAUCAGAACUGUAAUUUUAAAUAGCAGCUUCCUAGCUCUGAAGGUCUUUAUCUUCAUCUUUUCUUUUUUUUUCCUUUUUAAGCAAACCUAAAAAGUCAUUUUUCUUUGUCUGGCAUGCUCAUACAAUUUUGUUGAGAAUGGGCAUCAACAAGAAACUAGUUUCAGUCGCAGUGUUAUGACCAUAAACGUGACUACAUGAGCAAAGUUACAGCAGGAUGUAAAGCCUUAGAACAAGCAUGCAAACAAACCGAUGCCUGGGGAGGAAAGUACCUCAUCCCCAUUAAGUACCUGAUCAGGUUUCAGCUUGUUUAAGUAGUCUCAGCCUUCAUUCCUUCUUUUGUGACAGCUGAGGUAUUCUGAGAUCAUCCUGCCCAUGGCAUGGAGCAUCAGGAAACAGGGAUUCUCAUCUCCAUGCUGGAACUGCAGCACGGCGAAGAAUUUGCAGUAUGGCAAAGAAGAGUCUGCCAUCUAAACAUCCAGGGCCAAUGCACAUGGCAUGGGAAAGAGCUCAACUAUUCUUAGUGAUGCUUCUGGCAACCUCACUGAACUUGUUUCUCACUUUACUGCUUCUUAUCCUUUUUUAAACAGUAAAACCAUCACAGCUGUCAGCUGGGAGGAUGAUAGUGCCUUGGGAGUGGGAAGCAGUUAUUGCUAUUCCUUUCUCUUUGCAUGAAGAAAAGAUGGGAGAACGCGGCCUGAGAAGUGUUUGAUUUGAGGAGCCUCAACCUUGAGAUGUAUCGUGAGGGCAAUUUUCAGUUUGCAUCACUUGCAGAGUCAUUGCUAAAUACUGCAGGACCUGGGCAUGCACGAAUGCUGGGUGUGAUGGAGGAGGAGGAGGGAGUGGUGACCAAACCACUUUGUGAGAUCCAUCUAGAGAAGACAAGAUCCUUGAGAAAGACUGUGGUAAAACAAAGCUGAGACUUAUAGGAGGGAUGGCCUGUGCUGCCAAGUUCCUGCUUUGCUACUCUGAAAUGAAGAGCACAGGUGCAGAACUGAGUGUCCAUAAGGUACAGGCUUUGUUCAGGAGGCAAACUGAGCAUCUCCACUUAAUGUGUGGAUGCCAGAGGGUGAGUGGAACCCCUUGUGCAAUGUGGAUGGCUUUGUGGCAGCCCAUAGGGGCAACAGUGAGCAACAGUGCAGCAGUGGACUGAGCAUAGCACCCUGAGCAGCCUCGUUCCAUCAGAAGCAGAGCACUGCUUUGAGUGUGGCACAAACAUGCUGCUUGCCUGAGUUCCUGUAAACACCAGUUGCAAUGCUAGAUGUGAGUGUAUGGGAGAGAAAUGGUUUUUAGUGGGCUAUCUUGAGCAACUCUUAGUGAAAGAUUUGGAUUUCCACUUGGUGCUAGCUGAUGUAGUUUCAGCUGCCCACCUGCUGCUUUCUUCCUGACAGUUGGCUUGUCUCCUAUGUUUGUAUAUGUGCUGCAGCAUGGGCACUGUGGAGCACAGUGUGCUAUCAAGUGCCUGCGGCAGUGGAGUCCUGAGCUGAGCAGCCUGAGCUGCUACAAAAGCAGCAUUGCCCAGUGCAGUGCCUUCUGAUGGCAAAAUCCUCACUGUUGGUCUGAAAUACACAUAGGUUUGUGUUGGGCUUUGAUGAUCCAGCUGUAAAUCCAGAGUAGGCAGCUGAAGUCUGACCUCAGUCAAGUUGCCCGGCAUGCUCCAGCUGGGCUGAAGUUGACUCACUUGGUGCUGUACAGUAUUUGUGUUCCAUGAAACAAGGAUCCCCCUCAUUGAUUUGAGCCUUUCCAGGGACUUGAGGUUGUUAAGCUGGUAAGACUUUCCUCCUUUUCCACUGCUACUCAUUGAGGAUGACCUUCUCACCAUCCCUUUUGACUUUGAGCUUGCUGCUUCUCUCAAGUCCUCUUCUGACCCUCUGCAAGCCAAGAACAGCAUGUUUGUAUUGCCGUAGUGCUUAUAAGCUGUUCUCACAGGUUGUUCUAUCUCUCUCUAAGCUUUCAGUACUCAUUUCUCCUGCCAGUGUCUUGUGUAACUCUCCCUAUGCCAACACUGUUGGCUUCCAUGGGUAAAUUUCCUUAUGUUGGAUAAUUUGGAAUGAGCUUAUGACAGAAAAAUCUCACUCUAAAAUGCACUUUACUCCUGCAUCGCCUUUCAUUUGCUCCUGUGGCUGAUGGGCUUUGCUGGGUUGAAAGUCAUGCUGUUGGCAUGUGUUUUUAUUUGCAAAUUAAGGCUAUCCUGCACUCAAACAAGACUUUUUCAUUUAAUGUGUAUGAGCAGGAGGCACUCAGGCUGCAAGCAGUUUUUGUAUUUCAGCUUCCAGGUCAGUGAGUUUUUUGUCUCAUUUGUGUCAGCAGACAGUAGCCCUUUGUUCAGCAGCAUAACCUUUUCUGCCUCAGUGACACGCGCACACACACAUAUGUGAUGCAGAUCCUGAAUUGUGCAAUAAACUCCAUGGAUAAGCUCCAUAAGCCCAGCAAAGACAUCAUCUGUCUUACUUCAAGGAUCAACUGCGUGCCUUAUUGACCAGUGUUGAAGCCAAGGUUGUGGAGGCAGCUAAUUAUUCAUUUAUUUUGGCUUUUCCAUCCAUCAUUGCCUAUGCUGGAAAGAAAAGGGGCGUGGAAUAGUGAGUGAAGUGUUUGUCUUUGAACAGGUUGCCUUUGUCACUUGUAAAAAUCAGGAUAAAUAUAUUAGUUAAGUAGUGUUUAAUUUAGCAACUGAGUAACACUGUUUCCAAGAAGGGCCAGGAUGAGGAGGCCAGGAUAGGUCAUGAGCAUGAAAGGGCCUGAGUCAUGGGCACCGAAAUUUAAAGACGAAUGCAUCUGGCUGUUGCUGGUACCCUGAUGGCACAGCAACUGCUUGCAGCCCCAGUCUGUGCCAGCUGAUGCCUGCUAGCACCUCCUCUUCCCAUGCAGAGUCUGGAAAAGCAAGAAGCACCUGGGAGGCACCAUCCUGCUGCUGAUAGUGUGCCCAUUCUCAAGGAGCCCUCUGGGAGGUAUCUCAGUGGUGAAGAAACUUGCGUGGGCACCUCAAGCAUGCCAGUGUUUGUCCUACACAGGAGCAUGACUUCCCUCAAGAGCUGAGCCGCUGCUUUUCUGGCUGAAGAGGCCCUUUUCUGUGCUCUUCUGACCCAGCAGUGCCUUAUUCCUCCACCAAAACUGCACUCAGCCCUGGUGCACACACAUCCUGCUGGGCCUGCCCUGCUGUAUCCUUGCUGUUUGUGCUGUGGGUCCUUGCGGAAUUCCCUCUAUCCUGAUUCUCUUGGACUUUGUCCCUGACAAAAAAAAGCCCAUUUCAGGCUUCUCAGAGUUAAUACUCAUUGCCCUAACUCAGAACUGCCAUUUUAUGGGAAGUUCUGUCACCCUAAAGCUUGUUUGUUCUUUUUUUUCUCCUUCUUUAAUCAGAAUAAAACAGUUCAUUUUUUAGAUUUCCCAUGAGAAUGCUGUGUCCCAGAUACUGGUUUUAGAAAUGUUUUGCUCUGUGAUUCCUGAAUUUUCAUGUUGAAUUAUAUCCAUUUUAAAUUGUUGUACAACUUAGUGCUGGUUUGCUAAGUAUACACUGAUAGUCAUAGUGUGUGUAUUGCGUAGGAAAACAUUCUUUUGAUUGAUAAGUUCAGCUGCUACUUAGUACGAAUUGAAACAUCUUAUCUUAUUCCUUAGAACAGGAAGUCCAUUGUUUGCAAUGUAAUGAAAGCUUGACAGUGCCAUUAUAACACCCAGGAAUGUCUUCAUCUAAGAAAGCAGGUAACAUUUUGUUCUGUAGUGUGAUGCAAUCCAUCUAAUCAUCUAAAAGAAGAUGAAAUAUUUCACAGCUACUGUCAUGUUAGGGCAAGGCAGUAAUGAUAUACGUGGUAUAAAAACCUCUAGGAAAAAAUAUAUGCAAUUUGGAAGUUCUGUUCUGAAAUAAAGCUUCUGAGCUGCCAGAAGUAAAGCUGUUCCAAAGCAGCUUUGGCAGGAACAUUUUAAUCAAAAUCAAUGCUCUUUAUAAAAUCAAACAAAUGUCUUCUUCAAAGAAGCUUUUCCCAUCGGAAUAAUUUUGGUGGUGCUUUUUUUUACUAGUUCCCUCUGUCCCUGUGAAAGCAGGGAGUGUUUGUUACACUUCUUUGCAGUGUGAGUGCAGAAGACUUAGCUUUCUCAUCAGGACUCAAGCCCAAGUCUCCAUAGUGAAAGUCCUAAACAUUCCUUCUUUGCACGGGCUGCUCUUCUCUGGCUCCCACACAGGAGCAUGCUGUUCAAGCAGCUGCCAUUUUUCCUGCCUCUCACAGAGGGAAAGGACAACGUGCACUCGUUGCUGGGCCUUUGCCACCCCCCUGCUCCCCCUGCACAAGGGAAAUGGCAAACAUAGUCAUGCCUCUUUCUCUUUUCUGAGGUGCUGCCCAAACAAGCAGUACAGAUGUGUUCCAAUGAAACAGGGAAGGCUGGAGCAGGGGCGAUAGCAUAUGUUAACUGGGAAGCUUCAGAAUGAUCAGCUCCCUAGUUUCCUUUCCUGUUACACUUUGCACUGUGAUGUGAUGCCUAGCAGGUGAGCUUCUGUUGCUCAUGUGGAGGAGUGUUUCUCUGGUUGCCUUUCUACAGUCAUCACUGCAGACAAUGGUGGGAGGCUACAGGUUGGGAAACCAAAUUGUAGUGUGGCUCACAGCACAGGUGAAAACUUUGUCAAUCUCAAAUGAAAUCCAUGAGGUUGUUAUGUCAUAUAGUUGAAACAAACUGAUACCGUAGAGACAGAUUACUUGUUUGUCUUAAGCAAACGUUUGCUUUGGGAGUAGCAUCCACAGUAGAUGAGCAGUUCUGUGAGGGCUGUGGCAUGGCAAAGGAUUGCGGUGACAAUGCAGAUUUUUCAUGGUAGUCCAUAUACAAUCUGGACACCAGGAGGUACAAGAUAUAAAACAUUGCAGCAGAGAAGCAGGAGACAGUUAGCAAUACGCUGCCCAAACUGCUCUGCUUGUAGCAAGAUCAAGUGUCAUGUUUCACCCCCACUGCACCAAUUUAAAGACUUUGUUAAUUUUUAUUAUCGGUAUCAGUGGGGGGAAAAAAAAGCCAUACCUAACAGGGAAGUCUAGGCUCUCCAGAAGUCAGAAAUAAAAACGCCGGCAGCUUUGUUGCAGAUGGAGAGAUGAGAAAAUGAGUGGCAGUUCCCCAGUUAGUGUAGAACAGGCAGAUUCUCUGAGCUGGCAUAUGCUGUGCAGCCUUGAGGCUGUUAUUACUGCAAGGAUCUGGGAGCAGCACAUGAGGGCAGGGUAUGAGGGCACUUCCUGGAACUAUGCCACUGAAAUAGCACUGGGCAAGUUCCCAUGAGUUUGCUCAUCUGAUUUUUACAUCCAUAAGACAACAAGAUGUCCCCAUUUGCAUCAGUUCGCAGAACUAGAUUAAGGUUUGGAGAAUUCUUUGUUCCCUAAGCUAAAAUCUGGGUUUAGCUACGUUCAAAUUGAUACUUUAUGCAGGUAUGGGAAUGCCUUUGCUUGUUAUUAACCUGUAGUCUGUGUGCCAUUUUUGCUCUCUGGGUUUGUGCUCAAAGCGAGCCUCGGAAAGGCCAGGCUAAAGGCUGCAAUCCGAGAGACAUCCUAGCUCAGGUUACAGUACCAGAAACUGCAGGGAAAGCCCAAUGUAAUGAAGCCAGGAGGAUUUUUUCCCUGUGAGUAGGGAGCUGGCGAGCCGUUCAUAGGAACACAUGGGGAGAAGUGGCCCACAUUAAGAAAAGAAAGUCCCUGUUGCUUGAGGCAAGUAGGGAGCUUCAGUGGAUAUAUCUGGCCAUUUGGGAUGGGUGGUUCAUCUGCGUUUUGGAGCUCUGGAGUCUGGCUAAAGGCUGCAUAGUUCUGAGUAGGACAGAGGUCUUAGGUUUGGGGCCCUGCCGGGGCUUCGGUCCUGGCAAUGCUGGCUGACCUAUAGAAGGUGCAGGCAAUUGGUGGUGAGCAGAAAAGCCUAGCAACAGGGGAAGGAGGCUGAGGAGAAAUGGGAUCGGGGGAAUCUUCUGUGAGAAUCUGCUGGCUUCAAAGUCAGGGAGCAGAGCAGUACAACUAGUCCACAGUGUGGGAGCCCUGCAGCAGCACAGAGAGACAGGGAUCAAGCGUAAGCAGCAGCUGGGAGCCAUGCCCACACAGGAGCCAUCUGCCUUAGGUGCUAGCAGGGGGAGAGCAGGGAAAGAGCUGGGUGCUAUGGAGGCAGCUGGGCAGCAGAGAAACUUUGAUACUGGAAGGAACACGAUGGAUAAGUAUUGGGGCCAACGUGUUUGCAGGGAUGGUUUCAAGAAGACUAUCCUGGUACAAACAGGGAGAUUUAAAACCAAGAUUCAAGAGUGCUGGGAACACUGUGUAUGGUUCUGUCAGUAAAGAACGCUUACAUAGGAGCAGGUGCAGAACAGGGCUCAGAGGGUGAGUGAGGGCCAGAAAGAUCAGCAGAUGAGAGAAAACUGAAAGAGAUCAGUUUGUUUUGCUUAGCAAAACAAAGACUGGAAGAGGAAUGUGAUGUCUCUCUGUAAACACUUCAUUGCAAAGUAAAUACUAGAGGGGAAGGAAAGGUCUUAUAAUAAAGAUCAAUACUGGCACAAGGACAAAUUGGUACAAAUUUGCUAUUAAUAAACUUAGCCUGAAAAUUAGAUUUUGAGCCACUUAGAGGAGUGAGAUUUUGGAGCAGUGUCUCAAAGGGAGAAAUAGAAACCAAAGGAGCCUGAAAAGCCUGCAGGAGCAAAGAAGGCAGAGAGUAAAUUAAAUCUCUGACACAGUCUCAUUCUGUUUUAUGCGUGCCAGUGCUAUAGAUGGCCCAAUCCCGAAGUCUGGGCAAGAGAGCAAGUUGCAGCAGUCAGCAGCCGAAAUGGAGAACCAACGGCCAAGUUACAAGUCAGCUGCAGGACAAGGGGAGUUUCAAGGUAGCUGAGCUAUGCAGAUAGCCAGCUUUGGCUGUAUCCCAGUGUUUGAGUACAGAGACUUCACCAGACUGGCUGAGGGUAGGGCCUUCUGACAGCAUCUUGCAGAAGCAAAACCUGCAGAGUGGGAUGCAAUUGUGAACUUUCUAUCUCCAUUCCCCAGCUGCUGCCAUUUUCUGUUCCCUUCUGGUACAGAUCUGUGUUGUGGCCGUAGUAGGGUAGCUUUGUCUCUCAUCAUUCCUUAUAUGCUAUAUCUCUGUGUAUUUCUUUUCAUUAAAGAUUAAAAUAUGUUCUGGGACAUAUUUUGGGAAUGCCUGCCAUUUUGGUGGAAACUUUCCCCGACAGCCUUUAGGCAUGAAAUUGCAGAAGGAGGUUUAGCAGAGCUGCCUUUGUCAGAGAUGAUACUAGGACCCUUUUGCAAACCGUCCUGGUUAGGUUUGCUUGGAAGUGUGGGAAAAUGCUUUGGUUGAGAGAAAAUGAAGUUAUUUCUUGGGAGUGUUCUCACAAUAGCUUUGUUGCCUUGGGUCAGAGCUGAGGAAUGCUUGCCUAUAAGGCAAGCUGAAGUUUUCAAGCUAGAAAACAAGAGGAGAAUCUGGAAAGAUACACUGAGACAUAAAACCAGGAGGGCUUUACAUCAAGUUUGUUUUCCAAGAAAGAGCCUCCCC
rnacentral:lncRNA from 1 species